CUGAGGGCUGCUCUAUCUGUUCCACGUGAUAGUACUCGAAGGUGGGGCCUUUGGGAGAGGAUGCCGUCAUAAACGAUUAGCUCCUCCAUGAAGGGAUUAAUGAAUGCCCUUAUGACAGAGAGCCCAUGAAGAGCCUCCAUCAUGUGAGUUCACGUGGAGGAGAUGGAACUUAUGAACAUGGAAGUGAGGUUUCAUCAAACUCUGAAUCUGAAUUUCAUCAAAAGCUGAAAUCUGGGAGAAAUCUCUCCCAAACAGUGAGGAAUGAAUGUCUGUUGUGAUUAGCCAUCCAGUCUGUGGUAUUUUUGUUGUAGCAGCCUGAAUGGGCUAAGACAGGGACCACAGUUCAAGGCAGAGGAGAACACUGGUGUGAAGGCACUGUGCUCCAGAAGGGAACGUGCUCCAGGAAGGAGGGAAAGCGGAUGUUGAUGCUGAGCAAAACAUAUAGCACACAGAACACAGCAAGCUCAAAGGCUGGAAGGCAGAGGCUGCAAGAACAUAAUCCACAUGAACGAAAUAUUGGGCAAGAUCAUUGGAUUAAUUCAAGUCAUACAAGGACUGAUUUUAUCUUGUUCUUCAGAUCCAGGGUGACCUCACUUCAUCAUUGGCAGAGAUUUUCAAAACUGUUCGAAAAUGCAGAAAAUCAGAGCAAGAGCACAUUAAUCAUAGAAAUUCGAAGGGGAAGAGAUCUGUUCAGUUGGUCCACUCCCGGAUUGCCAAGAUGGUGCCUCAUCCACACGAUUCAGUCCAACUUAAAGGGACCAAAGUGAUAAGCCUCCCUCCCCACUUCCCUGAAGGGAAUCCUGAACUACUUUCUUUGCUGGGUUUUGGAAGAUAAUGGGGGUUUUAGGCAAGACUUGAACAUAAUCACGCUCUAAAAUGGCUAGUCUUCAAAUCGUCUUUGAUCCAAAGAUCAUUUAGAUGCUAUUUUUUUUGCAAUGCUCCUUCUACUGCCCUGUCACCAGACCAAAGUACAAGUGUCUGCUUGUGUCAAGCACUGCCCACACUUGGAGAUACGGCCUUUAAAGGGGUGUUGAGUUAAAAAUGAGCCGCUAGUGCAUUCUAAUGAACCCCACUAGCGUUCUAAUCCAGUCUGACUGGUGUCCUUCAUUGAAGAGGAAACGAGGCCACACAAAGACAUACCAGGCACGCACACACACAGAGAAGAAAGGCCAUGUGAAGACACAAUGAAAAUAUGACCAUUUUUAAGUCAAGAAGAGAGGCCUCAGAAGAACCUGAACCUGACAACACCUUGACUUGGACUCCUAGCCUCCGGAGCUGUGAGAAGACAAAUUUCUAUGGUCUGUGUUAUGACAGAGCUAGCAAACUAAUAUAGUCAUCAUGCGGAUUCCUACGUGUGUAUAAUCAGAAGAGAGUCAUAGAAACCAGUUAAUGGAAAGAAGCCUUAGAUUUGGAAUGUCCCCUUAGCUCUUGUAAGAAGAAAUAAAAUCAGGCUGCCUAAGGAUGCCACUGAACGCUGUGUGCAGAUCUUUCCUAAUAUGUAGGGUGUGCCUCCAAAGCUUGCUUCAUGUGUGUAUAGAAACAACGCCCAGACUCACUAAGUCAGCGACGACUAAUCACUAUGACAAAUUUAUGUGGAAUAAAUCGACAAAGUCAGAAGAUCGUUAAAUAUACCUCUAACAUGUUUGGCUUUGUCUGUAAAAAGUUGAAAGACAAGGUAGCAUGGGCAAUGUUCUCUUUAAAGAUUCCAAUUGAGUAUAAUUAUCCUGC
rnacentral:lncRNA from 1 species